rnacentral:tRNA from 1 species
GGGGCUGUAGCUCAAUUGGGAGAGCGCUUGAAUGGCAUUCAAGAGGUCGGGGGUUCAAGUCCCCCCAGCUCCACCA